CAGGAGCUGAGCUCAUGUGAGCCUUGAUCAUCUGCACAGCUGGAGCACCAACCCUGAUAACCCUGUCAGCCACAUCUGCUGGAGGUGCUGCCUGGCUUCCACCCCACCAGCUGGCUCUUGCUCAUGGCUUUGUCAGAAAUGUCAUCCUUUGAAAUACAGCACGGGAACAGCAAAGGGAAAGGGAUGCCAUCAUGAAAGAAAAGAUGGUGCACAAAGAGCUUCACUGGCAAUUUCAGCAUAAAUGGGUGGUACCUGGUAGUACCACAAGGAAGUGAAAAUGGGGUUUUAUUGCAAGAGAUCCUGGACACGGGUGAUUACACUUACAGUUACCCAGGCUACAGGCAUUCAGCAGCUUCCAAACCAUUCAGCAGGAGAGAGAAUCUCUGGAGCUGCAGCUGGAGUGAAACCUGAUUAUAUAGACAGCAGUGGUGCAGCCAGCUAGGACUGUGCAGUCAGUGCAGUCAGCUCUCCAGCAAAACAAGCACCAGAAGCAUGAGGUGUUUCUGCUUUUGGUGUGCCACAGGUGACAAAUUCCAGCCUAAAUGGGAGCUUGCCAAAACCCUCCACGAUCCCAUCCCUAUACCCAGCAGCAGUGAUUCAUCAUUUGCAGUGAUAAAGGACAGUACAGGCACACAGGUACUUUUUUUCUUUUUUUUUAUUGCUGUUAAUUCAAGGAAAAAGGUUGCAUAAAAUCCAAUCUCUUCUAGAAAUAUAAGUGACCUUUCCAGUACAUUUCAAAUAUCAAAGUAUAUGGUAAACAUACAAAUAAAGAGAAGGUAACAUACCUCCUAUUUACA
rnacentral:lncRNA from 1 species